CUCCGGAACCCGCGCGGCGACAGCCUGCGAACCCCGUCAGGACCGAGAGGUAGCAGCGGUAAGCAGUGACUGCCGCGCGACGCGGCAAGUUCCGGAGACU
rnacentral:SRP_RNA from 1 species